rnacentral:lncRNA from 1 species
UGGCUGAGGAUGAAGAGCGGGAAAACACACUCAAACAGUUUGCUGAGCUUCUUAAAUCCUCUUGCCACAAGGACAACCCUACUCUUUCAUGUACCCUUUGGGAGUGGUUGAUAGAUUACACAGAAGAGCAUCUGGACCUACCUGGAGUCCCUGGAUGCUAUCUUGAUAUGUGUAGCUUUUAUGAGAACCCUCAGUGCAUCUGUUUCUUAGAUCGUAAGCACCUUGAACACAUCCUCAAGUAUUUUAGACAGCUCACAACUGAUGUUCGCGCAAGUUUGGUUUCAAAAGUAGUUAAUAAGCUUUGGGGAAAUUCACAGGUCAAGGAAAGCAUCGAUCUUGAAUUGGAUAAGAUAGGGACGGGUGAUAGGAUGGUCUCUUGGAUUCUUGACUGCCAAGAAAUUGAUCCUGAAUUUGUGUCUCAAAUGGCAAAGGGCUUACACAAUCGUGAGAUAUUAUGGUUUGCAGUUUUGAGUAUAGUACGGUGCAUGGAUAGGAAAAAGGAAAGCUACUAUGUUAAGAGACAUAAGAUGCUAACUUAUGAUAAGAUGUUGGGUGAGGUUGAGACCAUUUGCGGCAGAGAAGACAAGAGGAAGAAUGCUAAUCAGCGGAGCACAUAUGAGUCUGCUCUUCUGGAGGAAUGUGAGAAUCAGCUUGUAGUAAAGCAAGAUGAUGAUGAUGAUGAUGAUACAAAAUGUUUCUUCUUGACUGUUGUAAGAGAUGUUUUUGAAGGACAAAACUCUCCAAGAUUUGAAGCAUUAGAGAAUAUGGAGUGUAUACCCAAAUUCUCUACUACUCUCCCAAAUGAUGUUAUCAAAAAAAGUAUGUUGACGCUAAGAAAAUCUCUAAAGAAGGAGGUAUUAAUUCUUCUUCUUCUUCAUCUAAUUUCUUUAUAUUCAUUUCAAACAAGAAGUUUUAGCUUUUGAUUUUUUGCAGUUCCAUUUGAUUGACUCGAAGAUUUUGCUGAACGAAUCUAAGUACGAAAAGCUAAUAGACGUAUUCCCAAAGCUAUCGGAGGUAGAGUAUCGCUUGGUGGUCGUUCCGUUUGUGAAGAAGUUCUUACAGGUACUUUUUCAACUUAUGGAUUUUACAAAUCAAAGACCACUGAGUAGGUGUUGCAUUGUUUCUUAAUUCUAAAUAGGAUCACUUUUUUCUUUUUUGGCAGGAUAAACUGAAGAAAAUGUUGAAAGAAAACAGAAAUUUAGUUGAUGCAGGAGAUUCAGAUGAACGAGAACAUAAGAAGAGACAUCUUCCAUAAAAGGAAUCCUGUCAACAGUUUUNNNNNNNNNNNNNNNNNNNNNNNNNNNNNNNNNNNNNNNNNNNNNNNNNNNNNNNNNNNNNNNNNNNNNNNNNNNNNNNNNNNNNNNNNNNNNNNNNNNNNNNNNNNNNNNNNNNNNNNNNNNNNNNNNNNNNNNNNNNNNNNNNNNNNNNNNNNNNNNNNNNAUUUUGUUACAUACUUAAAUUUUAGCAAAAGUGCGGCAAACUAAGUGUAGGAUUAUUAAAAUUAAAGAGAGACAUUACUUACAUUCGCAUAACCAUAAUAUAUCACUACUAACAUUUGUAGAGAUUAUAGUAAUUUUAACACAUUAACACUUUAUAACCAACAUUCAAAAAUUGUAAUUAAAGUCGUUAUUUUCCCUCACAUGAACAAAACAAUUUUGUCUCAUAGCAGCAAAACCAUUCACCUCAAAGAUCAACAAAACUUGAAUGAUAGUUUGAACAUAAACCAAACGAAAUGUCUCUGUCUAAUGAUCGAUCAUUUGCCUCUUUCCUCUAGUCCUCACCUCCGUUUCCGUCCUCUCGACUUCUUCUUCUUUGCUGGUCACAUCAAGAAAGCUUUGAAAUGUUGUUAAACGGCGUGAGAGAAGAUGAGAAUAACCUCAACUCGAAAUAUACCAUUGCAUACCUUCUUCUACUAUAUGUGUGUUGGUAUGGUUUGCAGAGAGAUGUACUUAGAGAAAAGAAGAGAGAGAGAGAGAGAGAGUGGUGGUGAGAGUACCGUUCGAACCCUGGUGUGCACGCCAAGUGCUCGACGAAAUGAGUCUUGGAAAGGUCAUUUUGCAUUUGAGGACGACAAAACUAAUCACGUGCCUUGCACAUGACCACUCCUUUUGUUGCUCAGCCUACAACAGUUUUCUUCUCUAAACAGAACAUCUCUCUCUCCCAAGAAAAGCUUACUACUUUUUUUUUUCUUUUCCUCUGUUUUCUUUCUCAUUCUCACACUUUCUCGAGAAAUUGCUGACUCCCUGUGCUCCGAUGACGAAGAACAAAGAACAUGACGUCCAAAGAACAGAGAAGAAUAUCAACGAUGCAUACAAUCUUGCCAAAGGCUUCUUCAAAAAUGGUAAAAACGGUAAGGCCUUGUCGCUAACAGAGAAAACGAUUUCAGAUCAUGGGGACAACGAAUCUUGCUAUUUUCACCACGAACUGCAAGGUGAUAUCUUCUUCCAGCAAGCAGGAAAAACAGAUAACACCGACGUCAAAUGCGUUUACUUGUUUGCUUCUGUCGAUGCAUAUUCAAUGGCUACUCUUCUGUCUCCUAACGCUCUACGGUCCGUUCGUGGCUAUGCUCGUUCGCUAAUCCAGUUGGGUGAUCAGCUUGGGGUAGACAAGUUUUAUGAGAAAGCUUUGUUCAGAGCAAAACGAGGAUCUUCAGUAACGCUACCUCAUGGCACUUCUCCGUCAUCAGACGAUUAUAAAAAUUUGAAUGCCGAAUUUCAGAAAUUGAUGAAUCUUGCUUCACAGAAGCUGCAUGAGACUGUUCCUGAUGCGGCUGUGACAGUUAUUGCUACAAGAGCUACGGCUAAUCAGAUGGAAUUGAUAAAGAAAGAUCCUUCUUUUGAUCGAUUGAAGAUCUUUUGGGCUAGUUUGGAUGACAAUACCAAAAAGGAAUUUUUGGUAGUAGACUCUAGAAAGCUUAUAGACUAUAUAGAGAAUCAUUAUGGCAGAAAAGUAAAAGUAUAUUUUCAGAAAUGUGUAACCAUCUUUGAUAUACUUCGAUGGAGAUGCUGGAAGUGCCACGUUUGCUCUCAGGUAAACUACUGUUUUACAGAUUGCAAGAUGCACAUCUUGGAUAGCCAUGUGCAGAGAUAUGAACCCGGUGAUUUCAGUGCUCGCCCUAAGUAUGUGGAUGGGGUUUUAGCUGACAUGAUUUCUUAUGGGGACUGGAAGCCUCUGGAUGCAGCAACGGCAACAAAUCUGAUUAUGGAUAGAAUCAAACGCGGGGAAGUGUUUGUUUAUGUUAAUGGAUGGUGUAGCGAUUGGCCUGUGGCUGAGGAUGAAGAGCGGGAAAACACACUCAAACAGUUUGCUGAGCUUCUUAAAUCCUCUUGCCACAAGGACAACCCUACUCUUUCAUGUACCCUUUGGGAGUGGUUGAUAGAUUACACAGAAGAGCAUCUGGACCUACCUGGAGUCCCUGGAUGCUAUCUUGAUAUGUGUAGCUUUUAUGAGAACCCUCAGUGCAUCUGUUUCUUAGAUCGUAAGCACCUUGAACACAUCCUCAAGUAUUUUAGACAGCUCACAACUGAUGUUCGCGCAAGUUUGGUUUCAAAAGUAGUUAAUAAGCUUUGGGGAAAUUCACAGGUCAAGGAAAGCAUCGAUCUUGAAUUGGAUAAGAUAGGG